rnacentral:tRNA from 1 species
UAGAGAGUAGUAUAAAGUAGUACUAAGAGUUUUGGGUUCUUAAGUUCAAGUUCGAUUCUUGACUUUCUAG